rnacentral:rRNA from 1 species
UACGGAGGGUGCAAGCGUUAUCCGGAUUCACUGGGUUUAAAGGGUGCGUAGGCGGGUAAGUAAGUCCGUGGUGAAAUCUCUGAGCUUAACUCAGAAACUGCCAUGGAUACUAUUUGUCUUGAAUGUUGUGGAGGUAAGCGGAAUAUGUCAUGUAGCGGUGAAAUGCUUAGAUAUGACAUAGAACACCAAUUGCGAAGGCAGCUUACUACACAAAUAUUGACGCUGAGGCACGAAAGCGUGGGGAUCAAACAGG